ensembl:lincRNA
AUUGGGACAAAAUUCUUGUUUACCUUUUUAGAUUCCCUCAGUUUCCAUGUUUCUUAUCUCUCUUUGCACAAUUCCCUUUUCUCAAGACUUCUCCACUUUCAGACUUAGAUGAAAUAGCAUUAAAGAUGAUACAAGAUGGCCACACGUAUAUGACUGGUGCGACUCAGCCCUGCUCCUCCUGUUUUUCCCUCCAGCUGGCUGGCUCAGGAAUACUCUCACAGUGAUGGCAGAAGAGCAAAUCUGGAAGUUCAAACACUCAAAUGUGUUGUUGGAUUUCUGCAUGCAUCACAUGGGCUAACAACUGGUCAAAGCAAAUCACAUGGCCAAACUAAAAAUCAAAGGCCUGGAAGACAGACAAAGUGCUAUUGAAGGUUACAGAAGAAUAAAGAAGUUCUGAAUAGAACAGAAUCUUUCAUAAGCCAGGGGUUAUAACGACCAACAGAGACUCCACAAAACCAUUUACUCACAGGAGGAAAUAUGGCAUGGAUUGGAUUAGAAGUGGAAAGACUAAUGCAUUUUUUGUCCGUAAGGAUUAGAAGAAAAAUGGUUCUCUCAGCUCUGCAAAAAGUUCACAGAAUGUUGAGCCAUUCUCCAAGCAAUUGUGUUCGACAGGACAACUUAGGAAUCAAAUUAGAAAGGCUGCACCUUGCCAUAACCAUGCGUCAUCUGGUGCUGCCUUUUCUGGACAGCACACACCCACACAAAAUGCUGGAGACUCUCAUACUGGCAGUUUAGUUCUUCAAACUAUAAAUGUGAAUGCCAGAAUUAAAGAACUAGAGGAGACGAUAAAACCAUUUUAGGACCCAAGCUCAUUAAAAUAUGUGAUACUCAAU